rnacentral:rRNA from 1 species
UACGUAGGGUGCAAGCGUUAAUCGGAAUUACUGGGCGUAAAGCGUGCGCAGGCGGUUCUAUAAGACAGAUGUGAAAUCCCCGGGCUCAACCUGGGAACUGCAUUUGUGACUGCAUGGCUAGAGUGCGGCAGAGGGGGAUGGAAUUCCGCGUGUAGCAGUGAAAUGCGUAGAUAUGCGGAGGAACACCGAUGGCGAAGGCAAUCCCCUGGGCCUGCACUGACGCUCAUGCACGAAAGCGUGGGGAGCAAACAGG